AGUAAGUUUUUGCCAGGGUUUUUAUUUUGUAAUUUAAACCUUAAAUUUAUUUUUUAUAUUUUUUUAAUGUUCAUGUUUUUGAAUGUUUUAUUCAAAUAAUGUAAAAAAUAAAAUAGAUAUUGACAUGGAUUGAACAAAAGAUAUAUAUUAUUUUAUGUUGCAUAAACAAAUUGGCAAAAUAGAGAUGGAAGAUAAAAAUAUGGUCAAAGUAAUAAGAGU
rnacentral:misc_RNA from 1 species